GGUUUGGCUUCCAUGAAGAUGAGCACCGCUGGAAAGCAGAAACUGCUACACGACCCAGUCACAGUUCCUGGAUGAUCCCGGCCACAAACAGCGGAUGUCUCAGCUCUGGACAGAAUGGGAUCAGCACGUCUUCCUCCCAAAACCAAAACGAUGCCUUUCUCCAAAUGCCUGCUGUGACCUUCGAUCUGGGAAACGAGUGGGAGGACUUUGAGGAUGAGAAGCUGCUGCGAGGCAGCCAGGAUCCCAGAGCUGAAGCUCAGUGGCUGCAGACUGAACCGAGUGUCUCAGGCUGUGCAGCUGCAUCAGCACCAGCGUUCUCCAGCCGCUCAUCUGCUAACCGUUGUGUACCUCCAGCUGCUCCACAAAGGCAAUACUUCAAGUACACACAGAAUGUAUUUGUCAGAAACUCCAUCAAAGAAGUGGAGUGAUGGUGUACUCGUGUUCCUGUGCUUUAGUUUAAGUCUAGCAGCUGUAAAUCCUGGAGUCAGGAGACUUGGAUCUUCUCACUGGAGCCAGAGCUUCCCGGAUCCCAGGAGAAUCACGCUUGACGUCAACACAAAGAAGCCAAGCGUCCUGAGCAGGCAGUCGGCGGCAAAGCCUCUGGAACGUGGGGCUGUGGCGCAUCUUCCUCCAGGAAUGCACUUCUUUCAUGCAGAGGGCAGCUCCUCUCUCAGCAGAAGCAGGGAGGAGGAAGCCUUUGUGGGGAUUUUUGACGGCAUCUUCUAGACCACUUGUACUUUCUUCAUGUUAUACUUAUUCAUGUUCGACCAUCUUUAAUGCAUGAAUGACAGUUUGCAGUGUGUGUUGUUGUUCUUACCUCAUACCGGUCAGAGUUCUGAAGUUAUCUUGUUCAAACUCUUCAGUAGGUUUUGUAUUUAAAUGUUUGUAUUUGUUAGUCGUGUUAGAAUAAAAACAAGAACAAAACUUUCUGCUAUUUAUUUGAACAUGACAAAGUGUUUGCUGAUAAGUUUGUCUUUUUUGUUGUAAAAAUAAAAAUAUAUAAGUUUGCUUCUGUUCAUGCUGGUCUACUUUUGACAUAAAUUAUAUAUGAAGUACCUGGCAGUGGUCCCACCCCCUUGGUUACUGCUUCAGGCUCCUCCCCCUGGUUUUAACCACUGACAGUAGGUGAGAUCCUGCAGGCAGCGCUGUGCAGAUCACCUGGAUUGCAGUGCAUCUUGGGUAGUUUUGACUCAGACGUCACUGAGAGGCGGGUGCAAGGCGGGUGGUCCUGGCGCUGCGCUGGCUGCAAGCUGCAUUGAUGACUACAAAACAAUGCAUUGUGGGAAACAGAGCGCUGGUAGUUUUUGUACUUAUACGUGAUUCUGAUCAGAAAUGACUUGCACUAAAUUAGGGAAAUUUGCACAUUUUGUAACAAUUUUU
rnacentral:lncRNA from 1 species